CAUAUCAAUAAGCGGAGGAAAAGAAACCAACAGGGAUUGCCUCAGUAACGGCGAGUGAAGCGGCAAGAGCUCAAAUUUGAAAGCUGGCUCCUUCGGGGUCCGCAUUGUAAUUUGCAGAGGAUGCUUCGGGAGCGGCCCCCAUCUAAGUGCCCUGGAACGGGCCGUCAUAGAGGGUGAAAAUCCCGUCUGGGAUGGGGUGUCCGCGCCCGUGUGAAGCUCCUUCGACGAGUCGAGUUGUUUGGGAAUGCAGCUCUAAAUGGGUGGUAAAUUUCAUCUAAAGCUAAAUAUUGGCCGGAGACCGAUAGCGCACAAGUAGAGUGAUCGAAAGAUGAAAAGCACUUUGAAAAGAGAGUUAAACAGCACGUGAAAUUGUUGAAAGGGAAGCGCUUGCGACCAGACUCGCCCACGGGGUUCAGCCGGCAUUCGUGCCGGUGUACUUCCCCGCGGGCGGGCCAGCGUCGGUUUGGGCGGCCGGUCAAAGGCCCUCGGAAUGUAACGCCCCCCGGGGCGUCUUAUAGCCGAGGGUGCCAUGCGGCCAGCCCAGACCGAGGAACGCGCUUCGGCUCGGACGCUGGCAUAAUGGUCGUAAGCGACCC
rnacentral:rRNA from 1 species